GUGGCGAGCUACCAUGCAGUCGAGCGGUAACAGAAAGUAGCUUGCUACUUUGCUGACGAGCGGCGGACGGGUGAGUAAUGCUUGGGAACAUGCCUUGAGGUGGGGGACAACAGUUGGAAACGACUGCUAAUACCGCAUAAUGUCUACGGACCAAAGGGGGCUUCGGCUCUCGCCUUUAGAUUGGCCCAAGUGGGAUUAGCUAGUUGGUGAGGUAAUGGCUCACCAAGGCGACGAUCCCUAGCUGGUUUGAGAGGAUGAUCAGCCACACUGGGACUGAGACACGGCCCAGACUCCUACGGGAGGCAGCAGUGGGGAAUAUUGCACAAUGGGCGCAAGCCUGAUGCAGCCAUGCCGCGUGUGUGAAGAAGGCCUUCGGGUUGUAAAGCACUUUCAGUCAGGAGGAAAGGUUAACGGUUAAUACCCGUUAGCUGUGACGUUACUGACAGAAGAAGCACCGGCUAACUCCGUGCCAGCAGCCGCGGUAA
rnacentral:rRNA from 1 species